rnacentral:lncRNA from 1 species
UGAGAAACAAGUAAUAAUUGGAGUAAAGGAAAACAUGUGUACAUGAAGAAGAAAAAAAAAAAAAAAAGCAAGGGCACUUUGGUCCUUUUAUAAGAUAACAAGUUCAUUCUCUUGUUUCUUUGCAUUGUUGAUGGAAAGCAUUUUGCUAGGAGGGCCACCUCAACCAAUCUUUCCUUUCAUCAUAUAGGAGAACCUAAUGACACAUAUUUUGAUAAACUUUCCCUUAUGCUACUUUUCGUUGUGGCACAUUC